CAGUAGCCACGGUAACACGUAGGGUGCAAGCGUUAAUCGGAAUUACUGGGCGUAAAGCGUGCGCAGGCGGUUCUAUAAGACAGAUGUGAAAUCCCCGGGCUCAACCUGGGAACUGCAUUUGUGACUGUAGAGCUGGAGUGCGGCAGAGGGGGAUGGAAUUCCGCGUGUAGCAGUGAAAUGCGUAGAUAUGCGGAGGAACACCGAUGGCGAAGGCAAUCCCCUGGGCCUGCACUGACGCUCAUGCACGAAAGCGUAGGGAGCAAACAGGAUUAGAUACCCCCGUAGUCCCUGUCUCUUAUAC
rnacentral:rRNA from 1 species